GAUGAACGCUAGCGGCAGGCUUAACACAUGCAAGUCGAGGGGUAGAGGAAGCUUGCUUCCUUGAGACCGGCGCACGGGUGCGUAACGCGUAUGCAAUCUACCUUAUACAGGGGAUAGCCCAGAGAAAUUUGGAUUAAUACCCCAUAGUAUAAUUGAAUGGCAUCAUUUAAUAUUAAAGUUCCAACGGUAUAAGAUGAGCAUGCGUCCAUUAGCUAGUUGGUGUGGUAACGGCACACCAAGGCGACGAUGGGUAGGGUCCUGAGAGGGAGAUCCCCCACACUGGUACUGAGACACGGACCAGACUCCUACGGGAGGCAGCAGUGAGGAAUAUUGGUCAAUGGGCGCAAGCCUGAACCAGCCAUGCCGCGUGCAGGAUGACGGUCCUAUGGAUUGUUAACUGCUUUUGUACAGGAAGAAACACUCCCUCGUGAGGGAGCUUGACGGUACUGUAAGAAUAAGGAUCGGCUAACUCCGUGCCAGCAGCCGCGGUAAU
rnacentral:rRNA from 1 species